AUUGAACGCUGGCGGCAUGCCUUACACAUGCAAGUCGAACGGUAACGCGGGGCAACCUGGCGACGAGUGGCGAACGGGUGAGUAACGCAUCGGAACGUGCCCAAUAGUGGGGGAUAGCCCGGCGAAAGCCGGAUUAAUACCGCAUACGACCUACGGGUGAAAGCAGGGGAUCGCAAGACCUUGCGCUAAUGGAGCGGCCGAUGUCAGAUUAGGUUGUUGGUGGGGUAAAAGCCCACCAAGCCGACGAUCUGUAGCUGGUCUGAGAGGACGACCAGCCACACUGGGACUGAGACACGGCCCAGACUCCUACGGGAGGCAGCAGUGGGGAAUUUUGGACAAUGGGCGCAAGCCUGAUCCAGCCAUGCCGCGUGCGGGAUGAAGGCCUUCGGGUUGUAAACCGCUUUUGUUAGGGAAGAAAUCUUUUGAGCUAAUACCUCGGAAGGAUGACGGUACCUAAAGAAUAAGCACCGGCUAACUACGUGCCAGCAGCCGCCGUAA
rnacentral:rRNA from 1 species